AAUAAUCCUAACUCAGCUUCAAAGUUUGACAUGGAGUUUAGAUACAUUAAAAAUCACAAAUACACCAAGGAGGGGUCCAAUAAAGCACCAAUGCUUAAUCUUACCUCAAAUCAGGGUGUAAGUUACAUAUUUGAGUUUGAAAAUUACAACGAUCUCCAAGUUUGCAAAGAAUUUGUGGGAAAAGCCCUUUCCAAGUCUGGAGAAACUCCAAAACCUGCUGAUACUUCACAAUCCCUUUCUGAAC
rnacentral:misc_RNA from 1 species